rnacentral:rRNA from 1 species
CUAGCGACUUCAGAGUUUGAUCCUGGCUCAGGAUGAACGCUAGCGGCAGGCUUAACACAUGCAAGUCGAGGGGCAGCAUAAUGAAGUAGCAAUACGGAAUUGAUGGCGACCGGCGCACGGGUGCGUAACGCGUAUGCGACCUACCCAUAACAGGGGGAUAACACUGAGAAAUUGGUACUAAUACCCCAUAACACUUUAGAAGGCAUCUUCUAGGGUUGAAAGUUCAGGCGGUUAUGGAUGGGCAUGCGUUGUAUUAGCUAGAUGGUGAGGUAACGGCUCACCAUGGCUACGAUACAUAGGGGGACUGAGAGGUUAACCCCCCACACUGGUACUGAGACACGGACCAG